AACGAACGCUGGCGGCAUGCCUAACACAUGCAAGUCGAACGAGACCCUCGGGUCUAGUGGCGCACGGGUGCGUAACGCGUGGGAACCUGCCCUUAGGUUCGGAAUAACUCCCCGAAAGGGGUGCUAAUACCGGAUAAUGUCUUCGGACCAAAGAUUUAUCGCCUUUGGAUGGGCCCGCGUUGGAUUAGCUAGUUGGUAGGGUAAAAGCCUACCAAGGCGACGAUCCAUAGCUGGUCUGAGAGGAUGAUCAGCCACACUGGGACUGAGACACGGCCCAGACUCCUACGGGAGGCAGCAGUGGGGAAUAUUGGACAAUGGGCGAAAGCCUGAUCCAGCAAUGCCGCGUGAGUGAUGAAGGCCUUAGGGUUGUAAAGCUCUUUUACCCGGGACGAUAAUGACAGUACCGGGAGAAUAAGCUCCGGCUAACUCCGUG
rnacentral:rRNA from 1 species